CCUUGCCUCCAUCUGAUCAGGAACUGGACGAGAAAGGCAGAAAAAAAAAAAUUAAAGGGUACACCUGUCUGCAUUGAGAAGCUUCCCCGUGUCCGUCUCCUUCAAAGUGUGGUCGGCCUGAACCAGCACUAUAGCAUCACCCGGGAGCUAAGAUCUAUUUCUGUCCUUCCAGGAGUUCCCUUGAAGGCCGGUUGCCGGCUGGAGGUCAAUCUCCGAGGAUGCAGAGCAGUCAGAACUCGUCCAGGAGUGAAAGCCCCCGGCUAGAGCGCGUUAAAAGGGCUAAUUUUUACUAGCCCACGCCUCUGCGGCGUUUCCUCUUCGCGCUCAAUCUCCGCACCCCUCUCGCUCCACUGCAGCGGUCUCGCGAGAUUUCUCGACGAUUUACAGAACCGGAAGUUGCUUUCAGUUCUCUUCCGUUUUGCGAACAUCGGUGAAGUGGCACCCGGUGAGACUGUGGUGAGGGAAUCAGGGGUCAUCCGCAGCCAUCCAUAUCGGGGCUGCAUGGCUUUCUGUCUCCGGGGUCUCGAGAUUAUUUUACUGAUCGGACAUUAGCCGGGGAGUGAUGCCGCGAUGGGCUCAGCCCGCUGCCUUCGUCGCCAGGGGCCGCAGGGCUGGAGAGGGGAGAACUGCUUACGGGACUAGAAAACCCUGGCGGGAGGGAUGACUGUUUCAGUAAAGACUGAACAUUGUAGUCGCCUAAACAGUAGCUUCGAAACAGUUGUGCAUGCCAAAAUGAAGUUCAAUCCCUUUGUGACUUCUGACCGAAGCAAGAACCGGU